rnacentral:rRNA from 1 species
GGACUACAGGGGUAUCUAAUCCUGUUUGCUCCCCAAGCUUUCGUGUAUGAGCGUCAGGUGCUAGCCAGGAAGCCGUCUUCACCUCAGGUAUUCUUCCCGAUAUCUACCCAUUUCACUGGUCCACCGGGAGUUCUACUUCCCUCUCUAGCCCUCAAGCUCCCCCGUAUCGAUGGCCCCCUCCCAGUUAAGCCAGGAGAUUUCACCACCGACGCAAAGAGCCGCCUGCACACGCUUUACGCCCAGUAACUCCGGACAACGCUUGCAUCCUACGUAUUACCGCGGCGGCUGGCAC